rnacentral:lncRNA from 1 species
GGCGUUUCCGGUCGGUGUGAGGCCGCACGAGCCAGGACUAUAAUCUGUACGCGGUGAUAGCGCUCGCUGCAUAAAUUCUGUUAAGUGCAGAGGAAGCUUGGGAUGAGGGUAGUGAUGAUCGCUUUUAAAGAAGUGCGGUAACGGGGAAUGGCUCAUCGGUUAAGAGCAGUGGCUGCUCGUCUGGAGGCCCUGAAUUCAAUUCCCAGUAACUACAUGGUGGCUCACAGCCAUCUCCAACUGUAGUCCCAUAGGAAUCUGAUGCCCUCUUCUGGUUUGUACAUGUAUUUGCAGACAUAUGCAUAAAUAAAUGGAAAAAAGAAAGUGGCAUCCCCUAAUGGGAUGUGUAUGUGUGGAAGAAACGCCAGAUUCAGUGAGGACAUUGUUCGAUAAUAGAAUUGGGAACUGAGAGUUUGAUCAGUCACUGAAAAAACACUGGGAUCAUUCGAAGGAGUAGACCUGGAGAGACGACCACACGUUUUGUAUUCUUAAAGAUAUAAAUUAAGGUAGCUCUUGGCCACCAGCCUGGAACAGUCGAGGGUCUCUGCCAUCCUGUGUGGUGGGGGUAGGGCAGCGAUGACCACCCACUUCGCCAGAUCUGAAUCCUUCCCUGGUUCCCAUUCUGAGGAACGCUUCCUGUUUCUGCCCAAGCUGGAAGAGAAGUGCUAACCUCUGAUGGUCAUAAAGUUGAGAAUCCAGAUGCUACCCUCACAUGACAAAAAGACAUCCCACCUGGCCUAUACACAAGCGAAAAUGAGUGUGGCUGUGCAUACUGAGUUUUGAGGCUGCUGACUGCAAAGGAAAGGUGAGGCCGUGUAAUGUCAAGGCUUCUUUUCUUCUCAGAGGAGUUAUUCCUGUUUAGACUAACCCUGUGUCCACUGACGCUCCAACCACAGAGCAGGCCGAGAAUCCUUUACCCCAAGGAAAUGUACCCCUGUUGAGUGGCUCCAGUUGUGGGGGUCCCCAUGUGCAAUUGGUGCUCAGGCCCCAGUUGCUGCCUAAGCCCUAACCUUUCUGCUGGUUGGAAAUAAAGUACCCAGGAGCUCCCAGGAGCAGGGAGUGGGUGGCAGUCUUGCCAGUACUCUUGGCUACCAGAUGCUGAGAAACUAAGGAGUGGGGCCUAUGCCAAAAGCCCUAAGAGUCACAUCUUACUGAAGCUUCUAUGUCUGUGCCUGGCCUCAGAUACCUUUCUCUGCACAUUGGUCUGCUCCCAUUCCUACCAUUAAUCUCUCAG